rnacentral:rRNA from 1 species
GAAACGACUGCUAAUACCGCAUAGGACAUAGGAUCACAUGAUCCAGUGAGGAAAAGGUGGCGCAAGCUAUCGCUAAGAGAUGGACCCGCGGUGCAUUAGCUAGUUGGUAGGGUAAAGGCCUACCAAGGCGAUGAUGCAUAGCCGACCUGAGAGGGUGAUCGGCCACAUUGGGACUGAGACACGGCCCAAACUCCUACGGGAGGCAGCAGUAGGGAAUCUUCCGCAAUGGACGCAAGUCUGACGGAGCAACGCCGCGUGAGUGAAGAAGGUCUUCGGAUCGUAAAGCUCUGUUGUUAGAGAAGAACAGCGCAUAGAGUAACUGUUACGCGUGUGACGUAUCUAACC